rnacentral:rRNA from 1 species
GGUGAACGCUGGCGGCGUGCCUAAUACAUGCAAGUCGAGCGAACGGACGAGAAGCUUGCUUCUCUGAUGUUAGCGGCGGACGGGUGAGUAACACGUGGAUAACCUACCUAUAAGACUGGGAUAACUUCGGGAAACCGGAGCUAAUACCGGAUGAUAUUUUGAACCGCAUGGUUCAAAAGUGGAAGACGGUCUUGCUGUCACUUAUAGAUGGAUCCGCGCUGCAUUAGCUAGUUGGUAAGGUAACGGCUUACCAAGGCAACGAUGCAUAGCCGACCUGAGAGGGUGAUCGGCCAUACUGGAACUGAGACACGGUCCAGACUCCUACGGGAGGCAGCAGUAGGGAAUCUUCCGCAAUGGGCGAAAGCCUGACGGAGCAACGCCGCGUGAGUGAUGAAGGUCUUCGGAUCGUAAAACUCUGUUAUUAGGGAAGAACAUAUGUGUAAGUAACUGUGCACAUCUUGACGGUACCUAAUCAGAAAGCCACGGCUAACUACGUG